UUUCUCACCCUUAUCAUCCUAGUAAAUGGCCGUAUAGAUGGAGUUGAAUAAGAUGUUAAUCCUUCUCUCUUACCAGUUUGGUAUCCACCCGGAAUGCCUUGGUAGCUCAACGUGCUAUUGGCCGAGGUGGGCAUUCCCUAUGACAUCGUGCUGGAGAUGGAGGAGAUCAACGAGGACUUUGCUGAAACGGACCUGGUUCUGGUGAUUGGUGCAAACGACACAGUGAACUCUGCAGCCCAGGAGGACCCCAACUCCAUCAUCGAAUCCAUGAAGAGUGAACGAGUAUACACUUCAAGGGGGAAGAAAAGGUAGGGAAUGGGACUGCAGCCCCUGUCAAAUGUUGACUGUCACAGAAGGGCUUGUUG
rnacentral:lncRNA from 1 species